rnacentral:rRNA from 2 species
ACCAAGGGUUCCUGUCCAACGUUAAUCGGGGCAGGGUGAGUCGACCCCUAAGGCGAGGCCGAAAGGCGUAGUCGAUGGGAAACGGGUUAAUAUUCCCGUACUUGGUGUUACUGCGAAGGGGGGACGGAGAAGGCUAUGUUGGCCGGGCGACGGUUGUCCCGGUUUAAGCGUGUAGGUGUGUGUUCCAGGUAAAUCCGGUUCACUUUAACACUGAGGCGUGACGACGAGGCACUACGGUGCUGAAGCAACAAAUGCCCUGCUUCCAGGAAAAGCCUCUAAGCAUCAGGUAACAUCAAAUCGUACCCCAAACCGACACAGGUGGUCAGGUAGAGAAUACCAAGGCGCUUGAGAGAACUCGGGUGAAGGAACUAGGCAAAAUGGUGCCGUAACUUCGGGAGAAGGCACGCUGACACGUAGGUGAAGUGAUUUACUCAUGGAGCUGAAGUCAGUCGAAGAUACCAGCUGGCUGCAACUGUUUAUUAAAAACACAGCACUGUGCAAACACGAAAGUGGACGUAUACGGUGUGACGCCUGCCCGGUGCCGGAAGGUUAAUUGAUGGGGUCAGCGCAAGCGAAGCUCCUGAUCGAAGCCCCGGUAAACGGCGGCCGUAACUAUAACGGUCCUAAGGUAGCGAAAUUCCUUGUCGGGUAAGUUCCGACCUGCACGAAUGGCGUAAUGAUGGCCAGGCUGUCUCCACCCGAGACUCAGUGAAAUUGAACUCGCUGUGAAGAUGCAGUGUACCCGCGGCAAGACGGAAAGACCCCGUGAACCUUUACUAUAGCUUGACACUGAACAUUGAGCCUUGAUGUGUAGGAUAGGUGGGAGGCUUUGAAGUGUGGACGCCAGUCUGCAUGGAGCCGACCUUGAAAUACCACCCUUUAAUGUUUGAUGUUCUAACGUGGACCCGUUACCCGGGUUGCGGACAGUGUCUGGUGGGUAGUUUGACUGGGGCGGUCUCCUCCUAAAGAGUAACGGAGGAGCACGAAGGUUGGCUAAUCCUGGUCGGACAUCAGGAGGUUAGUGCAAUGGCAUAAGCCAGCUUGACUGCGAGCGUGACGGCGCGAGCAGGUGCGAAAGCAGGUCAUAGUGAUCCGGUGGUUCUGAAUGGAAGGGCCAUCGCUCAACGGAUAAAAGGUACUCCGGGGAUAACAGGCUGAUACCGCCCAAGAGUUCAUAUCGACGGCGGUGUUUGGCACCUCGAUGUCGGCUCAUCACAUCCUGGGGCUGAAGUAGGUCCCAAGGGUAUGGCUGUUCGCCAUUUAAAGUGGUACGCGAGCUGGGUUUAGAACGUCGUGAGACAGUUCGGUCCCUAUCUGCCGUGGGCGCUGGAGAACUGAGGGGGGCUGCUCCUAGUACGAGAGGACCGGAGUGGACGCAUCACUGGUGUUCGGGUUGUCAUGCCAAUGGCACUGCCCGGUAGCUAAAUGCGGAAGAGAUAAGUGCUGAAAGCAUCUAAGCACGAAACUUGCCCCGA